AUGGGGUUGGCAACGCUAUCAGUCUGCCCUGGGAGCCCCCCGUCCUGGGGGUCGACCAGCAGCUCAGGGAACCCCUGAGUCCACAGAUCAAACGCCAGCGGCCACUUCCUAUGUGGUUUAGAUAUGACCGGCCCCAGCCGCUGACCGGCUGGGAAACUAUUGCGGAACCUGCGGAAGGAUCAUUACCGAGAGGGGGCUUCGUGCUCCAGGGGUUUCGGCCCCGUACUCUUCACCCUUUGCCUACCUACCUUUGUUGCUUUGGCGGGCCUCGGGGUACAUCCCGCGCCGGCCAGGGCUUUGCCGCCUCGGCUUGUGAGCGCCCGUCGGAGGCCCAUUCAAUCCUGUUUUAUCAGUGACGUCCGAGUGAAAACACAAUCGUUAAAAACUUUCAACAACGGAUCUCUUGGUUCCAGCAUCGAUGAAGAACGCAGCGAAAUGCGAUAAGUAAUGUGAAUUGCAGAAUUCAGUGAAUCAUCGAAUCUUUGAACGCACAUUGCGCCCCUUGGUAUUCCGGGGGGCAUGCCUGUUCGAGCGUCAUUGCACCCCUCAAGCGCAGCUUGGUACUGAGCCUUCGCCCCCGCGGCGGGCUCGAAAAGUAUUGGCGGCUCGGCGUAGACUUCAAGUGUAGUAAACUUCUCCCGCUMUGGAAGUCGCGUCGUGGCCCGCCAGAUAACCCCCAUGAUUCCAUCAUAGAC
rnacentral:rRNA from 1 species